GUCAGUGUGGCGUAGUGCUUUGAGUGUAAGACUAGGACUCUGGAGACCAGGGUUCAAAUUCUGGCUCGGCCA